AUUCCGGUGUCCACUUGGAAGGGGAAGCCCUCUCUAAAGCCUUGGCACCUUUGGGGACAGCUACAUAUGUUGGGGGCUUUACUUCCCUCUCUCCUCAUCCUAACCAGUGUGGGGAGAUAGCAAAUCCUCCUCUACCUCUGGGGACACAGCAAGCUGGGAAUGGAAAAGAGGGAGAGGAAGAAAACACACGAACAACUUUGGUGCCUACUCCUCCCUUUCAUCCGACCCCUGUUUGGAAACGAAUGAAGCAACACCCACCAGUGGACUUCCAGACCUGCCUGUCCCCUCUGCUCCAUCUGCCCCCAGGGGAUGAGACCCCCGUGUCCCCACUCCCGGGGCACCAGCAGCACCAGUACCAAUGGGAAGAAUCAAACAACAGCAAACCACUGACUAUAAUUCCUCCAGCCUAAAUGUCUCCCACUGCACAUUUCCCAACGCAGUAAGCGACACCUCGCCCUGAAAAAAGCUCGGCACAAAGCGGGGUGAAAGUUGAAGAGGGAAUGAGCUUGUAAUAGUGCCUCGCCAGACCUCACACAUGCUGAAGGAUAUUUACAGCAAACGUGCCAAAGUAAACUACCCCGCCUACCCACCACCAUGCCCCCU
ensembl:lncRNA